rnacentral:misc_RNA from 1 species
UUUUUUUUUUUUUUUAUCUUCUUUAUCUUGUCUAAUAAUAUUCUCAAAAUGUUUUGGGAUUCAAUUCAUUGACUGGUCCAAUUUGAAUUUAAUAACAAUGAUUAUCCACUUGCUUCUCCUCAGCAUCCAAUAGCACAGCUUUCACAGUCAACAAAAUAUCCUCGAGCUUUUUGAGUUCCCCUUGCAAGCCCCAUGCAAAACUUAUCUCUUGGUAGGCAUGGGAUGCUAGCUUUUCUAGGAAUUUCUCAGUAACAUUAAAAGCUAACGACUCUAUAGACAUUUUGUGUGGGCAAGAAAAAAAAGAUUUUUUUUUUUCCGGGUUUCAGUU